UACGUAGGCAGCGAGCGUUGUUCGGAAUUACUGGGCGUAAAGGGGGUGUAGGCGGGUUUCCCGGUCUGUUGUGAAAUCUCCCGGCUUAACUGGGAGGGUGCAGCGGAAACUAGAAUGCUAGAGGGUGGGAGAGGUAAGCGGAAUUCCUGGUGUAGCGGUGAAAUGCGUAGAUAUCAGGAGGAACACCUGUGGUGUAGACAGCUUACUGGACCACUUCUGACGCUGAGACACGAAAGCGUGGGUAGCAAACGGG
rnacentral:rRNA from 1 species